UUCACUUCUUUUUUUCUAGACACAUAUAGCUAUACUUUUGAAUUUGUAUUUUAUUACUAAGAUUUAACAGGGUUUUUGAUUAGGUCGCAUAUGCGACCAGACGCAUUCCCCCCAUCGCAUAUUUGGGGGGUCGCCUAUUUUUGGGUCAACAACUGAAAGACCUUAAAAAAACCCAAUCAAACUACAAUACCUAUAAAUAUAACAUAUCUAUUAAAGUUUAAAACCCUAAGUCAAAAAAUCUAACCAUUGCCUCCCUCCCAAUACCUCCCAAAUCGGCAAAUCCAGAUCUUCCUCCUCUUCUCAUCUCGUCGGACUUGCUGUCACCUCGCCGGACCUCUCCGUUCAUCUCGCCGGACCUCUCCGUUUAGAAUGUUUAGAACUAAUACUUUUGUUGUUUUGAAUGUUUGUUUAAGAUUUUAAGAGUUUAAGUAUCAUUAAUCACUCUAUUAUUUUAAUUAUGAUUUUUAUUAUGACUUAUAAUAUCAGGGAAUUUUAUAAAAUAUAGAAAAUACAGGGGGUUUAUUGAAAAUAAAAUAAAAAAUACAUUAAAAAAAACGUCGCAUAUUGGGUCGCAUAUGCGAGCAGGCGAUCGCAUAUGCAAUAUGCGCACCCAGGCAGCGCCUGGUCGCCUGAAAUUUUUUGAGAUUUAAUGACAUAACUUGUAGUUGAAAUCAUGCAAGUAUUUAACAUACGAAUGAUUUAUAUCAUAUCUUUUUCCUUAUUUAUUUUUUAUACAAUUUUGAAGAAGAGGGAGAAUAUGCUUAUAUGAAUAUUAUUGGUGUCUUUGCUUGCCAUGACUUGUAAUUGUAAUGAAUUCUCUUAUUCUGUUGUCUGGUG
rnacentral:lncRNA from 1 species